ensembl:lncRNA
UCACCGUCAUGAGAUUAGAAAUACCUUUCGUGCAGUUCAGCAGCAACUAUGCAAUAUGACAGUUAAGUCAGCAGAGAGAUAUUCCAGGCAAUAGUCCAGAACUCGGCUACCAUCAACACUGGAGAGAUGGCAGACUUCCUGUCCCUUCUCAUACCCUGUUUGAAUGACUUUGGUGGUGUUUCUUCAUCGGCCAAGUUUCUACAUUAAGGCUGAAUACGUGGCUGGCACAGGAGCUGCCUUCUGGACAAGGACAUUUUCAGUGGAAGAUAAUGCACAGAAGGUGUACAAUACCACUGGUUGUCAAAGAAGCGAAGCCAGGGUCCCUUCUAGUGGGUGCAUCAGAAGUUAGAGAGAUGAAAAUCCAAAAAAUCCUAUAGCACCGCUUCCUGUGAUCUCUAACCCAUCACAAUUGAAAUGACAAGCGUUGAAAUGGGAGCCUCACGGUGGCGCCCUCUGCCUUUGCCGGCCUCUUCUGCAGCAGGGAGCGGCUCUCGCUGCCCAGUGCCAGUUCUCAAACUUGAAUGAUGCCUGGACCCCUUUAAAAAAAGAUGGAAUCAUCUUCACACACCCUACCACACAUCAGAGGAGACUUCUCUGGGAAACACUGACUUAAAAAUUAGGAUCUUAUAUUCAACAUCAAUAUCUUUCAAUUGAGAUUUAUAACUGCAAAGAAAAAGUUCUGUCUUUAUAACUGCUAAAUGGUUGAUUUUUAAGAAUCUUUAUACUGUUGUUGAAAGAAAAUAAUUAAAAAUACUUUCAACUUCCUAAAAGUCUCAGGAUCCUGAAUACAUGUCCAUGGGCUGCUGUUUGAAAACCUACUUUGCCUUUUGCAAGGACACGCCUCACUUGCUGGC